AACUAGGCAAAAUGGCACCGUAACUUCGGGAGAAGGUGCGCCGGUGAGGGUGAAGCAUUUACUGCGUAAGCCCAUGCCGGUCGAAGAUACCAGGCCGCUGCGACUGUUUAUUAAAAACACAGCACUCUGCAAACACGAAAGUGGACGUAUAGGGUGUGACGCCUGCCCGGUGCCGGAAGGUUAAUUGAUGGGGUUAGCUAACGCGAAGCUCUUGAUCGAAGCCCCGGUAAACGGCGGCCGUAACAAUAACGGUCCUAAGGUAGCGAAAUUCCUUGUCGGGUAAGUUCCGACCUGCACGAAUGGCGUAACGAUGGCGGCGCUGUCUCCACCCGAGACUCAGUGAAAUUGAAAUCGCUGUGAAGAUGCAGUGUAUCCGCGGCUAGACGGAAAGACCCCGUGAACCUUUACUAUAGCUUUGCACUGGACUUUGAAUUUGCUUGUGUAGGAUAGGUGGGAGGCUUUGAAGCGUGGACGCCAGUUCGCGUGGAGCCAACCUUGAAAUACCACCCUGGCAACUUUGAGGUUCUAACUCAGGUCCGUUAUCCGGAUCGAGGACAGUGUAUGGUGGGUAGUUUGACCGGGGCGGUCUCCUCCUAAAGAGUAACGGAGGAGUACGAAGGUGCGCUCAGACCGGUCGGAAAUCGGUCGUAGAGUAUAAAGGCAAAAGCGCGCUUGACUGCGAGACAGACACGUCGAGCAGGUACGAAAGUAGGUCUUAGUGAUCCGGUGGUUCUGUAUGGAAGGGCCAUCGCUCAACGGAUAAAAGGUACUCCGGGGAUAACAGGCUGAUACCGCCCAAGAGUUCAUAUCGACGGCGGUGUUUGGCACCUCGAUGUCGGCUCAUCACAUCCUGGGGCUGAAGCCGGUCCCAAGGGUAUGGCUGUUCGCCAUUUAAAGUGGUACGCGAGCUGGGUUUAGAACGUCGUGAGACAGUUCGGUCCCUAUCUGCCGUGGACGUUUGAGAUUUGAGAGGGGCUGCUCCUAGUACGAGAGGACCGGAGUGGACGAACCUCUGGUGUUCCGGUUGUCACGCCAGUGGCAUUGCCGGGUAGCUAUGUUCGGAAUAGAUAACCGCUGAAAGCAUCUAAGCGGGAAACUAGCCUCAGGAUGAGAUCUCACUGGGACCUUGAGUCCCCUGAAGGGCCGUCGAAGACUACGACGUUGAUAGGUUGGGUGUGUAAGCGCUGUGAGGCGUUGAGCUAACCAAUACUAAUUGCCCGUGAGGCUUGACU
rnacentral:rRNA from 1 species